CGGUACGUACUGGCAUUGUUGGUUUCUCCCUUCUGACGAACCAUGAUGUCAUUUAUUUGGUGUUGUGGGGAAUCAGGACUGUUACUUUGAAAAAAUUAGAGUGUUUAAAGCAGGCUCACGCUUGAAUACAUUAGCAUGGAAUAAUGAAAUAGGACGUUUGAUUCUAUUUUGUUGGUUUCUAGGAUCGACGUAAUGAUUAAUAGGGAUAGUUGGGGGCAUUAGUAUUCAAUCGUCAGAGGUGAAAUUCUUGGAUUUAUUGAAGACUAACUACUGCGAAAGCAUUUGCCAAGGAUGUUUUCAUUAAUCAAGAACGAAAGUUAGGGGAUCGAAGACGAUCAGAUACCGUCGUAGUCUUAACCAUAAACUAUGCCGACUAGGGAUCGGAUGAUGUUAAUUUUUUAAUGACUCAUUCGGCGCCUUACG
rnacentral:rRNA from 1 species